AGACCAUGUCAUCCAAUCUACCGUCCAUGGUUCCUCCAUAAACUAUAACCAUUUAAUAAUCAAACCCGAUUCAGAGGUCAUCAAGCCUUUAACAUUAUGGAGAUAACCAGAAUAAACAAGUACCUGGGAAUCAGAAGAGGACUCUUCCCUGCAAGUUACACAUCAAUUCGUGGAAUGAAAGAUAUUUCUUUUGAACGUGAAGUACCUGAUCAAUAAAGUCGGCAACAAACACAGAGAUUAUAAAACUAACUAGACCAACAAAAAAUAACAGAACCUUCUUUAUGGAAUAUCCUGGCUAUCUAACUAUGUUCACGAGAUACUCCAAGAAUAUAGUUUAAAAUUUCUAAUCCGACUCUUUCA